UUUGCAAACACAAUCACGUUCUUAAAUGGAAAUGCGGGGCUUUAAACAAAUCUUACAUCUCUCCCCUUCCAUUCGCCCAAAACUCUGCAAUCAGGCGCAUGUUCCGCUCCUUCUAAAACAGGAGCUGCUUUUUGGGGAAGGUGCCAUUUUAAUCAUUCACCUAAAAGAAAUGUUUUUUUCUUUUUCCUUUUUUAUCUCAGCCCCAUGCGACUGUUCUUUUUUUUUCUAUUUACAGGAGUUACUCUGCUCUGCUGUUCAUUUUAAUCCGGAACUUCAUGACUAAACGAUAGUUUUCACCGUGAGACAGCUGCGGGAAUGCGUUGCAGAAUAUGAGAAACGCGACAACUGGCAGACUACAUGGCAUGCGUAAUAGGCACUAAAUAUGCAAUUGCCAAAAGAAAAAGCUGCUGGUUGGCCAUCCAUUUUGAACACUAAAUCGUCCCGUUCUUUUCAGACCUUGCUUUGCUGAGCUGCUUGCCAGCAUGGAGGCCACGACCCCAAACCGACGCUCCAGGAGUGUUUGGACCAAGCCAUGGGAGGAACAAAAAGGAUGGAACCUCACCAACAAACUAAUGAGACUGGUAAAGAAAAUCUAAAUAGCAGAACGCAGAGUAUUAACCCCUUUACAUACACAGCACCCAGGAAGGAGGAGUUUCACAUCUGGAAUGGCUGUGAUGUCAUAGAGCUACAGAGUGUGGUGCACAUCAGCUUUCUUUCUCUUUUGCACUUGUUGCAUCAGGGAGGAGACCACCAGCGAAAAAUAAAGCUAGCUGCCUGGACCUAGCUUGUCUUGAGUUCCUGCCAGAAAGAAUUAUAGAUUUCCAAGAAGACCUGCUGUCCCUUCUUAAGUCAACAAAGUGGUCUCCCUUCUUCCGUCCUGAGAGAAGAUGACAUUUGAAACUACAACCUGCUCGCUGCCGCAUCUCCUCCCCCAGCUGCUGCAGAGAGCGGUCCGCCACGCAACUGACUGACCAUCAGACGUCCUCCUCUGUUGAUCAGAAUGAGAGUACAGCAAAAGGUCGUGCUUGGGCUGAAAAAGUGGGUUUUGGAUAAAACAUUUUAUAUAUUGACAAUUUCACUCUGUUUUACUAAGUAAUUUGUUUUGUAAAGUUGACGUGUAAAAAGUUACUUUCCUGCUGCAACAUAUGCUUAAUCUGAUUUUUCUGUGUUUUCCCUGCAUCUCCUUUCACUAAUCUACAUAAAAUACAUCUGACAGUCUUGAAAAAUGCGCUAAGUCAAGUUAAAAUCUCUUCUGAUGCUAAGAUGAUAGCCAACAUUAGUGCUGCCAGAACUUAAUCACACAUAAAUACUUUUAUUAAUGGUACUUAAAGUUAUAUGUUCCUUAACAGGGUUGUUUAGGAACACUACAGCUAAUUUCUUCUUUUUACUGUUAGCUGAACUACCAAGCGUUGUUCACCGUCGUGUUAGAGUGCAAAUGUGUCUUGGAACUCAGUCCAUCACUGCAUGAACUACUGUGAUGGCUAGCUCACACAAAAAUAAGAAGCAAUUGACCAAAAGGGUUAAUCAUCUCUAAUUUGGCAAAUUAUCAGUUGUACAUCAUUUUAUUAAAAGAAAAAUGUUCUCUUCUGCUUUGCAUUGAGAAGUGGUUGUUCAAACACAAAAUCAAAUGUUACAAUUAAUUAGUAAAGUUUGACCGAAAUGCCAAUCUGGCAAAAUGAACUAGGGUUUUUAAACAUACAUAAUUACUCUGACCUGUAAUAUCACUACACGGAUUGAUGGGUUUUCAGUUUUAUUCUUUAGUUUCCCUUUUUUGUAGCCUAUCAGUUUUCCCUUACUCUUUUCAUUUUUACCCAGUUACCAGUUUGGCAAAACAAUGUGUUUACU